rnacentral:rRNA from 1 species
AACGAACGCUGGCGGCAGGCCUAACACAUGCAAGUCGAGCGCUCCUUCGGGUGACCGGCGGACGGGUGCGUAGCGCGUGGGAAUAUGCCCUUCUCUACGGACUAGUCCUGGGAAACUGGGGGUAAUACAGUAUACGCCCUCUGGGGGAAAGAUUUAUCUGGGAAGGGUUAGCCCGCGUUGGAAUAGGUAGUUGGUGGGGUAAUGGCCUACCAAGCCGACGAUCCAUAGCUGGUUUGAGAGGAUGAUCAGCCACACUGGGACUGAGACACGGCCAAGACUCCUACGGGAGGCAGCAGUGGGGAAUCUUAGACAAUGGGGGCAACCCUGAUCUAGCCAUGCCGCGUGAGUGAUGAAGGCCUUAGGGUUGUAAAGCUCUUUAAGCUGGGAAGAUAAUGACGGUACCAGCAGAAGAAGCCCCGGCUAACUCCGUG